rnacentral:tRNA from 1 species
GCCGACAUGGUGGAAUUGGUAGACACGCUAUCUUGAGGGGUAGUGAUCCUAGAUCGUUCGAGUUCAAGUCUCGAUGUCGGCACCA